rnacentral:piRNA from 1 species
UAGUUGAUGUAGACCCUGAGAAAAUGAAAGC